rnacentral:rRNA from 1 species
CAGUAGCCGCGGUAAUACGUAGGUGGCAAGCGUUGUCCGGAAUUAUUGGGCGUAAAGCGCGCGCAGGUGGUUUAAUAAGUCUGAUGCGAAAGCCCACGGCUCAACCGUGGAGGGUCAUUGGAAACUGUUAAACUUGAGUGCAGGAGAGAAAAGUGGAAUUCCUAGUGUAGCGGUGAAAUGCGUAGAGAUUAGGAGGAACACCAGUGGCGAAGGCGGCUUUUUGGCUUGUAACUGACACUGAGGCGCGAAAGCGUGGGGAGCAAACAGGAUUAGAUACCCCCGUAGUCCCUGUCUCUUAUAA